rnacentral:rRNA from 1 species
AUUGAACGCUGGCGGCAGGCCUAACACAUGCAAGUCGAACGAGUGGCGGAAGGGUGAGUAAUGUCUGGGAAACUGCCCGAUGGAGGGGGAUAAAAACUGGAAAAGGGAGGUAAUAACGCGUACCAUCGGAUGUGCACAAAUGGGGUUAGCGAGUAGGUGGGGUAAGGGCUCACCUAGGCGAGGAUCCCUAGCUGGUCUUAGAGGAUGACCAGCCACACUGGAACUGAGACACGGUCCAGACUCCUACGGGAGGCAGCAGGGGGGAAUAUUGCACAAUGGGCGCAAGCCUGAUGCAGCCAUGCCGCGUGUAGGAAGAAGGCCUUCGGGUUGUAAAGUACUUUCAGCGAGGAGGCGUUACUCGCAGAAGAAGCACCGGCUAACUCCGUGCCAGCAGCCGCGGUAAUUC